rnacentral:rRNA from 1 species
GACGAACGCUGGCGGCGUGCUUAACACAUGCAAGUCGAACGGAAAGGCCCUGCUUUUGUGGGGUGCUCGAGUGGCGAACGGGUGAGUAACACGUGAGUAACCUGCCCUUGACUUUGGGAUAACUUCAGGAAACUGGGGCUAAUACCGGAUAGGAGCUCCUGCUGCAUGGUGGGGGUUGGAAAGUUUCGGCGGUUGGGGAUGGACUCGCGGCUUAUCAGCUUGUUGGUGGGGUAGUGGCUUACCAAGGCUUUGACGGGUAGCCGGCCUGAGAGGGUGACCGGACACAUUGGGACUGAGAUACGGCCCAGACUCCUACGGGAGGCAGCAGUGGGGAAUAUUGCACAAUGGGCGGAAGCCUGAUGCAGCAACGCCGAGUGCGGGAUGACGGCCUUCGGGUUGUAAACCGCUUUCGCCUGUGACGAAGCGUGAGUGACGGUAAUGGGUAAAGAAGCACAGGCUAACUACGUG